rnacentral:rRNA from 1 species
GAUGAACGCUGGCGGCGUGCUUAAUACAUGCAAGUCGAGCGAACAGACGAGAGUUCUUGCACUCUCUCACGUUAGCGGCGGACGGGUGAGUAACACGUGGGUAACCUACCUAUAAGACUUGGCUACCUUCGGCAAACCGGAGCUACUACCGGAUACUCUUGCGCUUUGCAUGAAGCUAUAGUGAAAGACCGUUCUGCUGUCACUUAUAGAUGUACCCGCGGUGUAUUAGAUAGUUGGUGGGGUAACGGGUCACCAAGGCAACGAUUCAUAGCCGAAGGGAGAGGGGGAUAGGCGACACUAGAACUGAGACACGGCCCAGGGGCCUACGAUAGGGAGCAGUAGGCAAUCGGCCGCAAUAGACGGAAGUCUGACAGAGCAAGGCCGAGUCAGUGAAGAAGGUUUUGGGUGCGUAAUACUCGGCUUUGAGGUAUGAACAAGUACGUCAGGAACUGAACGGAGCGUGACGGUACCGUACCAGGAAGCCACGGCUAACUACGUG